CAGUGAGCCGUAAUGGCACCAUUGUGCCCCAGCUUGGGUGACAGAGCGAGACUCUGUCUCAAAAAAAAAAAAGAAAAAAGAAAGAAAGAAAAAUAGGGGCUUUACAGAUGUUCAAGUUAAAAUGAGGUAGGUCAUUAGGGUGGGCCCUAAACCAUUAUGACUUAUGUCUAGAUUUUUAAAAGGUGGAGAAAUUUGUAUACAGACAGAUACUAGUAAGGGAGAAGGCCAUCUACAAGCCAAGGAAUUUGUAUACAGACAGAUACUAGUAAUGUC
rnacentral:lncRNA from 10 species